CAACACAAGUGCCGUGGUGAAUAGAAGUGUGCGUGUGUGCAGUGCCGGCCACAAAUAUUUCUCUUGUGUUUGCCUUCCGGUUAGAAUUUCCAAUCGUGUGUGUGUGGCGGCAAGUUCGAGCUCGUCGACGGCGAGCUCACGGCGCAUGCCUUCCGCUCCGCGUGCUGAACACCAUGGACAACGGGAAGGAGAGGAGCAUCGGGUUCUGAACAAAGAACGGAGGCCUGACACGGAAGCUCGGCGG
rnacentral:lncRNA from 1 species